ACGCCACUGGUGCAGACCAGACACACGUUUUCACUCUUACUCCUUCCUCUCAAGGUUAAAUCCACAACACACUCACCACUAUACAAACAACUAUCCCCAGUAAACUACCCCGUAUCUCCUUUUCACACGACGAGAUUCUACUCCGCGUCGCACAGAUGGGGUACGAAGAGGAUGGAGAAGAAGUUGCAGAUGACGAUGAUGAUGAUGAUGAUGACGAGGGGAGGGAAGACGAGAUUUGGGAGCCCGAGGAAUUAUCCACAGUUGAACUCAGGUGGUUAAGUCGAGUGAUAUCUUUCUGUAUCAGAAGGCGGGAAGGUAUGGCAUUGGGACUCGUCGGAUAAAUUGAUGAGGAAAUGCCGUCAUUCGAUUUGUUAAGGGACGGUUGCUCUCGUUGCUGUUGCCAGUAUGAUGCAUAAAUAGGAUGAUGGAUAUGUCCGAUUUCUGGUGGAAAGUGAAGGGUGGUCACUCCAUGCGAUUCAGGUAAAUCUUUAUUUAGUUUCUCAUUAUCAUUGUCGUUGGCGUUAUGGGGGUAUCGUGGUAGGCUUGUAAGGCCGUCUUCGAGAGGAUGUUGUUUUCGCUUUUGUUCUUUGUGCUGGAUUUGCUGGCUUUGCUGAUGGACAUUAGGAUAUACUCCCGGUACUCCCCGCACUCUAGAAAAGGAGAUUGAACGGAAGACAUCUAUGUUGAAUGGAUCAAGUUUCCAUAGCCCUUGAGGUGUCGACAGUGUUUCUUCCCACGGCUCAUCACCAAAGGUGUGGUGUUGACAUAACGCUGACCAGACGAGGCAGAUUUCUAAAGAUAUCGAAUCACAUGUGAGCAACAGAACUAAGACAGAAACUAACAUAAACGACAUACCGUCAAUAUCAUUUACAAGGAAGUUGAGGGCGGCGGCAUCCUCCAUGUAGAACGUAUCUCUCCUAUAGUUGCUAGACAAGGGCGGGAGGAGAUGAAAAUGGUACCAAAGAAACGAAACAAUCAACACAGAGACGCUUGCUCCAACAAACUUCUGUUGCAUAUUUGAAGCUACCUCAACGCCAUUCUCCUAUGGAGGAAAGAAUGUGACUUAGACAAGGAUGACUGAUAAUGGUUUCGUGAUAAUAAAAAGAGC
rnacentral:sRNA from 2 species